UACGUAGGGUGCAAGCGUUUGUCCGGAAUUAUUGGGCGUAAAGAGCUCGUAGGCGGUUUGUCGCGUCUGCUGUGAAAACGCGAGGCUCAACCUCGCGCCUGCAGUGGGUACGGGCAGACUAGAGUGCGGUAGGGGAGAUUGGAAUUCCUGGUGUAGCGGUGGAAUGCGCAGAUAUCAGGAGGAACACCGAUGGCGAAGGCAGAUCUCUGGGCCGUUACUGACGCUGAGGAGCGAAAGCGUGGGGAGCGAACAGG
rnacentral:rRNA from 1 species